rnacentral:rRNA from 1 species
GACAGAGGUGCCGAGCGUUAGGCGGAAUCACUGGGUUUAAAGCGUGUGUAGGCGGACCGUUAAGUACCUUGUGAAAUCCCACGGCUCAACCGUGGAACGGCUGGGUAUACUGGCGGUCUUGGGCCACCUAGGGGUCAUCGGAACAGGCGGUGGAGCGGUGAAAUGCGUAGAUAUCGCCUGGAACGCCGACGGUGAAAACAGAUGACUGGGGGUGUGCCGACGCUGAGACACGAAAGCCAGGGGAGCGAACGGG